CCUACGGGAGGCAGCAGUGGGGAAUUUUGCGCAAUGGGCGAAAGCCUGACGCAGCAACGCCGCGUGGAGGAUGAAGGUCCUUGGAUCGUAAACUCCUGUCAGCAGGGAAAAAGGCUCAUGGCCACACCAUGAGAUUGAUUGUACCUGCAGAGGAAGCCCCGGCUAACUCUGUGCCAGCAGCCGCGGUAAUACAGAGGGGGCAAGCGUUAUUCGGAAUUAUUGGGCGUAAAGGGCGCGUAGGCGGCGUCUCAAGUGGAUGGUGAAAUCCCCGGGCUUAACCUGGGAACUGCCGUCCAAACUGAGAUGCUUGAGUCCGGGAGAGGUAAGUGGAAUUCCCAGUGUAGCGGUGAAAUGCGUAGAUAUUGGGAGGAACACCAGUGGCGAAGGCGGCUCACUGGACCGGUACUGACGCUGAGGCGCGAAAGCGUGGGGGGCAAACAGGAUUAGAUACCCUGGUAGUCCACGCCGUAAACGAUGAGUGCUUGGUGUAGCGGGUAUCGACCCCUGCUGUGCCGAAGUCAACACAUUAAGCACUCCGCCUGGGGAGUACGGUCGCAAGACUGAAACUCAAAGGAAUUGACGGA
rnacentral:rRNA from 1 species